AAUAAAUAGGCAAAACUAGGGAAAUCUAGCGACGCAAAGCUAAAGGGGCUAAAGCUAUAUAGCUAUGCCAGCCAGUUGCCAA
rnacentral:ncRNA from 1 species